rnacentral:rRNA from 1 species
UACAGAGGGUGCAAGCGUUAAUCGGAUUUACUGGGCGUAAAGCGUGCGUAGGCGGUUCGUUAAGUCGGUUGUGAAAGCCCUGGGCUCAACCUGGGAAUUGCAGUCGAUACUGACGGACUAGAGAACGGUAGAGGGAGGCGUAACUCCAGGUGUAGCGGUGAAAUGCGUAGAUAUCUGGAAGAACACCGAUGGCGAAGGCAACCUCCUGGGCCUGUUCUGACGCUGAGGCACGAAAGCGUGGGUAG